rnacentral:rRNA from 1 species
UACGAAGGGUGCAAGCGUUAUUCGGAUUCACUGGGCGUAAAGGGUGCGCAGGCGGUUGGGUGUGUCAGAUGUGAAAUCCCGAGGCUCAACCUCGGAACUGCGUCUGAAACUACUCGACUAGAGUACUGGAGAGGGUAACGGAAUUCACGGUGUAGCAGUGAAAUGCGUAGAUAUCGAGAGGAACACCAGUGGCGAAGGCGAGUCUCUGGACAUUUCCUGACGCUGAGGCACGAAAGCCAGGGGAGCAAACGGG